rnacentral:rRNA from 1 species
UACGUAGGCAGCGAGCGUUGUUCGGAGUUACUGGGCGUAAAGCGUGCGUAGGCGGUUGUCUAAGUUUGGUGUGAAAUCUCCUGCUUAACUGGGAGGGUGCGCCGAAAACUGGGUGACUGGAGUGUCGGAGAGGUAAGCGGAAUUCCACGUGUAGCAGUGAAAUGCGUAGAGAUGUGGAGGAACACCGAUGGCGAAGGCAGCCCCCUGGGCUAACACUGACGCUCAUGCACGAAAGCGUGGGGAGCAAACAGG